GGAUUAGAAACCCGGGUAGUCCAUGCCGUAAACGUUGGGAACUAGGUGUGGGCCUCAUUCCACGAGGUCCGUGCCGUAGCUAACGCAUUAAGUUCCCCGCCUGGGGAGUACGGCCGCAAGGCUAAAACUCAAAGGAAUUGACGGGGGCCCGCACAAGCGGCGGAGCAUGCGGAUUAAUUCGAUGCAACGCGAAGAACCUUACCAAGGCUUGACAUACACCGGAAUGUGCCAGAGAUGGUGCAGCCUUCGGGCUGGUGUACAGGUGGUGCAUGAUUGUCGUCAGCUCGUGUCGUGAGAUGUUGGGUUAAGUCCCGCAACGAGCGCAACCCUCGUUCCAUGUUGCCAGCACGUAAUGGUGGGGACUCAUGGGAGACUGCCGGGGUCAACUCGGAGG
rnacentral:rRNA from 1 species